rnacentral:tRNA from 14 species
UGGUUAAGGCGCGGGGCUUCUAAUCCGAGGGUCCCGGGUUCGAUUCCCCUUG